rfam:Oryza barthii chromosome 6, whole genome shotgun sequence.
UUUAACUGCAACCAUAAAUUUACGUGUCCAACUUUAAUCGUCCAUCUUAUUUGAAAAUUUUUUAUAAUUACUAUUUUUGUUGUUAUGAGAUUAUAAAACAUGAAUAGUACUUUACUCGUGACUUAUGUUUUUAAUUUUUUUUAAAAAAUUUUAAAUAAGACAGAUGAUUAAAAUUGUUCGCGGAAAACCAUAGCUACACUUAAA